UACGUAGGGUGCGAGCGUUGUCCGGAAUUAUUGGGCGUAAAGGGCUCGUAGGCGGUUUGUCGCGUCGGGAGUGAAAACCAGGUGCUUAACACCUGGCUUGCUUUCGAUACGGGCAGACUAGAGGUAUGCAGGGGGAGAACGGAAUUCCUGGUGUAGCGGUGAAAUGCGCAGAUAUCAGGAGGAACACCGGUGGCGAAGGCGGUUCUCUGGGCAUUACCUGACGCUGAGGAGCGAAAGUGUGGGGAGCGAACAGG
rnacentral:rRNA from 1 species